AACGAACGCUGGCGGCAGGCCUAACACAUGCAAGUCGAACGCCCCGCAAGGGGAGUGGCAGACGGGUGAGUAACGCGUGGGAAUCUACCCAGAUCUUCGGAAUAACUGGGGGAAACUUCAGCUAAUACCGCAUGCGCCCUACGGGGGAAAGAUUUAUCGGUACUGGAUGAGCCCGCGUUGGAUUAGCUAGUUGGUGGGGUAAUGGCCGACCAAGGCGACGAUCCAUAGCUGGUCUGAGAGGAUGAUCAGCCACACUGGGACUGAGACACGGCCCAGACUCCUACGGGAGGCAGCAGUGGGGAAUAUUGGACAAUGGGCGAAAGCCUGAUCCAGCCAUGCCGCGUGAGUGAUGAAGGCCUUAGGGUUGUAAAGCUCUUUCAGUGGGGAAGAUAAUGACGGUACCCACAGAAGAAGCCCCGGCUAACUUCGUGCCAGCCGCCGCCGUAAAAC
rnacentral:rRNA from 1 species